UCAACAGGCAAGCCCGGCCCAAAGCUGUCUAAAAUUUGAAAAAAAAAAAAAAAAAUUAAAAGAAAAAAAAACUAUAAACCGUAGUUGGGAAUUGCCGUCGUCUGGAAGUUGGCAAACGUUGCAGGCAGCCAGCGACGCCCACUUUUGGCACUGAAUUUUGUGGCAGCAACACAGGAGCAGGGCAGCCACAAACUUAUUAAUUUAACAAUUACAAAAUAAAUUGUGAGUGCGCCAAUUAAUUUGCGGUCGGUAAAGAUACACACAAAAGAGGGUAAAAGCCGGGCACAAUUCGGUAGGAAGAUGAAAAAGUCGUCAGCAUCAUUAAGUGACAUUUGUGUUACUUUCCAUUGACGUUAAUUGACAUUAAACCCACCUUAAGCUUUAACUACCUUAUCAAAGACAAAGAGUUAACAUGACAGUACAGUGAAUUUAUUUACAGUUGACCCUUGGAAUAAUUUUACCAUUCCGAUCCAGGAGAAACUAUCUGGCAAACAACAACAAAACCAUUAACAUGAAAUUACAAGGAAUAAAUAAGGAAGAUUCCUGUUUCGGGCUUUCUUGGGCUCGGAAGCCAGCCCAAAUUUAUAGGCAACAUAAAAUGGGAGCAGACAAUGCCAAUAACAAUAAACGAAAAUAAAGUUUAUGACCGUGCUAAACACAGCGGCGAGCCGGAAAAUGCCCAACAGAACUACAGAUGUACAGAUAUAGAUUAUGGUUGAUUUUUUGUCAACACCAAGGGUAGGGUAGUCUCGUUAUGGAAACUGGCCUUUACCAAUUGUACUCCGGGCCAAAAUUGAGGCCUUACAAGACUGGGAGCAUCAUCUUCGUCAUCAAUGCCGUAAUCAUUUCAGCAUCUUCUGACGAACCUUGAAGUGAGUUGCAAAAAAUAUCGCCGCUUUCAGAAAGGAUAAAAUUAUGAAAGGAAAUUCCCUAUAAUACAGAAAGAAGGGUAAUUUUAGGAGCGUUAAUUUGAAUUACCCUUGCAUUUAUAACUUACCACUAUUAUCAAGAUUAUUUACGGAGCAGUUUAAUUUUAUUGCCGUAAAAUCUUAAAGCCACCGUUCUAUUAUUUUUAAAAUGUACCCCUUUGAGUGGCGCUUUUUAAAAUGCCUGACAAGGUACACAUGUCGAACAACAUUGUGGAAAUAUUGUUGAAGAGAAGUGUUGCGAGAGAUACACGCAAUCAGGAGGGCACAGACUUCGGUGGUCUCUCAAAAUGUGUAGCAUACACAAGGGGUCGUCUUUUGUGGCACUGCAGAGCACUGGGGAGAUAUGUGAUAAGCGGGUGGGUAGUGAUGAUGUGGUUUGUUGUCCUAUUCGAUUCGAUUUGCGCCUCAGUAUUAUUUACGUUUCACUUGCUCAGUUAUGGGAUCGUCCUGCGUCAUGGUCCUUCUCGUUUGCCGCUGGGUGCUGUCAAGAUGAUGUAGCACAAUGUGCAGACUUUCAAGUUGUGCCCAAGGAGCUAGCUUGUCAUGUUGCACGUAACGACAUUUUGAAUUAACGAAGCAUGAGAUUUGAUUAUAUAAACUGCAACAAGAUAACCGACAGCAACAACAUCUACAAUAGCAGCUGCCGCAAUGACAACGCAACAUGAACGCUAGCAAAUGCCCUUUAGAAGCCAACUUGCGAACUGAUGCCGAUGCAAACGCUUAGCUGGAACCUGUUCCAAUCUGCAACACAGCCACCACCUCCAUGGUAAUCCCCAUAAUCAUCAUUCUCGAUUGCUGCACUGCUUUUCCGCUGCCUGCACUUGAUACAUUUCCCAUGGCAUGGACUUCUAUAUUCCAAUCUCAAGGGUGCAAAUGGGUGUUUAUUAUUGCGGUUAUAAACAUAAUAAUGCUAAGAACCGGAUGCGAAGGAGCACUGUAGUACUGUUCCUGGGUAUAUUUAUUUAAAAUCAAUUUAAGCGGAGCAGUUUAUAAUUUAGAGA
rnacentral:sRNA from 1 species